UCACUUCACAUUAAGCCUCGAAUCGCUAUAUGGGAUCUGCCGGUUUCGACCGGAUAUGGCGAUAAAUGGCGCUGUGUAAUAGGUACAACGGACCCGGGGGCAGUACCCGGCGGCUCCACCAUNACCCGCUGUUAANGGGCGGUUUUUGACGGGGCCGAACUAGGAUCGACGUGUGCUGAAAGACAGUGUUUUNGCCCGGGCUGAGUACCCCGUAAAACUGUUCACAACACACAAGUGCCAAUGACAAUGAAGCACUCGCUCUUGCUGCGUAAUCUGANGGCCUAACGGCCUGAUCUUACAAAGCUAAAGCGCGGUCGGACCCACCGGGCAACAGAAGCGGAUUCCGGGGNNCNGGGGGUAGCCUAGCAACAGAANCCCCCACC
rnacentral:tmRNA from 1 species